UACGUAGGUGGCAAGCGUUGUCCGGAUUUACUGGGCGUAAAGGAUGCGUAGGCGGUUGUUCAAGUCAGGUGUGAAAGCCUUGAGCUCAACUCAAGAAAUGCACUUGAUACUGGAUGACUAGAGGACCGGAGAGGAUAGUGGAAUUCCCAGUGUAGUGGUGAAAUACGUAGAGAUUGGGAAGAACACCAGUGGCGAAGGCGGCUAUCUGGACGGUUUCUGACGCUAAGACGCGAAAGCGUGGGGAGCAAACAGG
rnacentral:rRNA from 1 species